AUGUGAUGAUGGGGAACUUUCCUCUGCAUCUCCUUGUAGCGCUCCCAAGCUUCAUGUAUCGAUUCUCCAUCAUGUUGUUGAUAGAGCAUAAUAUCCCUUGUCAACUU